GGCAUGCAAGUCGAACGAGAUCCGGAGUGUAGCAAUAUAUUCCGGUGAAAGUGGCGAAAGGGUGAGUAUAACGUGGGCAAUCUGCCCUCAAGUUGGGGAUAGCUCUGCGAAAGCGGAAUUAAUACCGAAUGUAGUCGUCUCGCGCAUGCGAGACUAUCUAAAGCCGGGGACCGCAAGGCCUGGCGCUUGAGGAUGAGCCCACGCCCUAUCAGCUAGUUGGCGGGGUAACGGCCCACCAAGGCUUACGGGUAGCUGGUCUGAGAGGAUGGUCAGCCACACUGGGACUGAGACACUGCCCAGACUCCUACGGGAGGCUGCAGUCGAGGAUCAUUCGCAAUGGGCGCAAGCCUGACGGUGCGACGCCGCGUGUAGGAUGAAGGCCUUCGGGUCGUAAACUACUGUCAUGAGGGAGCAACGGUUCUGGUGUUAACACCACCGGGAAGUGAUAGUACCUCAGGAGGAAGCCACGGCUAACUCUGUG
rnacentral:rRNA from 1 species